AGUCUGCCUUGAAGAUCGGAGUGCUUGCACUCUGUGAAACAAGAUACAGGCUAGCGGCGGACGGGUGAGUAACACGUGGGUAACCUGCCCAAGAGAUCGGGAUAACACCUGGAAACAGAUGCUAAUACCGGAUAACAACAGAUGAUGCCUAUCAACUGUUUAAAAGAUGGCUCUGCUAUCACUCUUGGAUGGACCUGCGGUGCAUUAGCUAGUUGGUAGGGUAACGGCCUACCAAGGCGAUGAUGCAUAGCCGAGUUGAGAGACUGAUCGGCCACAUUGGGACUGAGACACGGCCCAAACUCCUACGGGAGGCAGCAGUAGGGAAUCUUCCACAAUGGACGCAAGUCUGAUGGAGCAACGCCGCGUGAGUGAAGAAGGGUUUCGGCUCGUAAAGCUCUGUUGUUGGUGAAGAAGGACAGGGGUAGUAACUGACCUUUGUUUGACGGUAAUCAAUUAGAAAGUCACGGCUAACUACGUGCCAGCAGCCGCGGUAAUACGUAGGUGGCAAGCGUUGUCCGGAUUUAUUGGGCGUAAAGCGAGUGCAGGCGGCUCGAUAAGUCUGAUGUGAAAGCCUUCGGCUCAACCGGAGAAUUGCAUCA
rnacentral:rRNA from 1 species